CUCCCCAGGUCCCUUCGGUUCCCGUGUUCAGGGACGUCCGUGCUGCAAUGAAAGCCGCGCAUUACGAGGCCCACAGAUGGCAGGAAGCCUCACAUCAGGGGAGGAGCAAGAAGGCACACUGGGAUGCUCUGGUCACGCGGCUCUGUCUGCCUGGGACAGUCUUUGUGAGUCUAGGCCCUUAGAAGCUGAUGUUGUUCACAUGAUGACAUACAAGUGUCAUCAUACUGAUGACUUGUGCAUGAGCACCCCCUGUGUGGGACUUGUUUGGGUGGGGAACCGGCCUGUUGCCCUGGGGUGCAGCUGGAAGAAACUGCGUCCUUGUGGUUCUAGGGUUUCUGCUUUACCUAGGGUUCUGCAGAGUUAGUGGACCCGGUAGGCCAGUGCUGGGAGGCCACUCGCCUGCCUCUGUCCUCCUGCAAUCCUCUUAGACCCAGUGCCUUCCUGCUGGAGCACCCACAGCACCCAGUUCUUGUGGUUUAUAGGUGUGAGCUAUGUGGCUUGGGAAUAAAGGGAGCUGAGUACUGUGAGGCAGAA